AUUGAACGCUGGCGGAAUGCUUUACACAUGCAAGUCGAACGGUAGAGGGGGCAACCCCUCGAGAGUGGCGAACGGGUGAGUAAUAUAUCGGAAAGUGUCCAGUCGUGGGGGAUAACGCUGCGAAAGUUACGCUAAUACCGCAUACGAUCUAAGGAUGAAAGCGGGGGAUCGCAAGACCUCGCGCGAUUGGAGCGGCCGAUAUCAGAUUAAGUAGUUGGUGGGGUAAAGGAUCACCAAGCCAACGAUCUGUAGCUGGCGUGAGAGAACGACCGGCCAGGCUGUAACUGGGAAUCGGUCCAGCCGCCAACGGGGGGCAGCAGUGGGGAAUUUUGGACGAUGAACGCAAGACUGAUCCAGCCAUUCCGCGUGCAGGAUGAAGGCCCGCGGGUUGUAAACUGCUUUUGUACGGAGCGAAAAGGUCUCUCUUAAGACGGGGGACUCAUGACGGUACCGUAAGAAUAAGCACCGGCUAACUACGUGCCAGCCGCCGCAGUAA
rnacentral:rRNA from 1 species